UACCAUUAUUUCACUGGCAGGGAAUCUGAUAUGUGAAGAGUUAAGGCAUUGCCAGUGGUCUGGAGGCUGAGUCGUGAUGGAGCUGAGAUUCAAACCCAGGCAUUUUGCUUCAUUGCUCACGUGUUGUCAUCUUGACUAUAAAUGAGGAAUCUUGCAGCAGGGGAGAUCAUGAACAAAGUUGGUAGUUUUUGAGAAGCUGCCCUUGAAGACAUGUAAUUCUGGAGAGAACUACAGAUGCUGAGUGCUUUACUUCGGUUAGCCUAAGAUAAAAUACCCAGGAGGAGUGAACAUUGGUAUUGGAGUCCAUGUAUGAAGCCACUGGAAAUGAGUGCUGAAGUUCUUCCAGAAAACAUUUUAGAAUGAGGUGGGAAUUCAACAACACUAAUUUACCAUGGACCACUUUCAGAAGGGUUGUGUGAUGGCAGAACAAUUUCCAAGUGGGAUUUCGCUCAUGUGAAAACAACUGCAUGUGAACAGAGGAAAAAAAAAGUUUCUGUAUUUUGAAAAAUGUAGUGGUAAUACUUAAAUGAAGAUUAAUUUUUUCCCCUGUGGCUACACUGUGACUUUGAAUGAAACCAAUUAAUUCCCACUGUGUGCAGCUAAACAUCAUUGUCUCACUGAUGCUGGAGCCAACGCUGCCCCAACCAUGACUCACUGGGAGCACUUGUUUAAGUGGAAGAAUUUUGCCUUUCUGCAUUGUUAGCUGUCCCAACCUUUGAUUUUUCUCUGUGAACAUGGGUCCUAGUCUCUGCUAAACAUGGGCAUUUUUUCUUGCCACAAUACCCAAACUACCUACAUGUGAGGUAUAUUUUUUCUCCAGAUGCAUUAAAAAAAACCCCACAAUUUUUAGUCCUUUCCCUCAUCCCCACUUUUUUUCUGCUGUAGCUCUCCGCCUUUCAUACAAGGGACCAGAGCCCAGCCCCUAUGAGUGCUGGGCAGCCAGCAAAGUCUCAACAUGCUGCUGGUGUGGGAGGGGAUUCUGUGUGAGCAAGCUGGCUGCCACAUCUGGGGGAGGCCCGAGUGAUGAAAGAUGGCAGCUGAGAUGAUGGGAGAGGAGUCAGUUUCUGGGAGGCAGGGGAAGGCUCCUCUCUUAUUCCCCUCGCCUAGAUCCAAAUACCAUUUGUGUGAAUCAGCUGCCACUUGGCCUCAAGGGACUUUGCUGCCAGAUGCUCACUCCCCUUCCCCCUUCUUGAAGCGAGAGCCAAAUCCCCUCCUGACCUCUCCACCUGCAGUAGAUGUCUUCUAGGGCCGCUUGACUGUCGCAGGGCGUUCAGGGUACAGCAGCAGGCUUUUCUCUCGUGCAGAAUGUUAUAGGGCUUUGAAAGUAACAAUGAAGGAGCUGGAGUUACUCUGAGUCACAUCAGUGAGCAUCUUUGUGGGCACGUUCUCUAACAUCGUUGAGCAUUUACUGUGUGUGGGCUCUGUGCUA